UUGAUUUUUUUUUUUUCUUCAUCUUUAUUUACUGAUUCUUUGCGAUGGAAACUUCAGUUUUCUUUCCAGCUUGCUAUUAACUCUUACCCAUGAAUUGAGUGCUUUGUAUAUACUUUGUAUUAUUGUAAUUCAAACUCCAUUUCCUCUUUUAAAGUUAAUGUUGCUCUUGUUCCUAUACUUCUCUUAUUUAUCUCAAAUUUCCUUCUCUGGCAAGUGAGUCGAUCCCUUAACUAUUUCUCAAACUUCGAAUAUUGAUACUUGACUAUGAUGCUCACAACUCAUUUUAAUCUAUGAUUUUUCUUGGCAUACUUCCCUCUGCUAGCUAGACCUGCAUAAUGAUCAUUAUGAGUCAUAAUUUCAUGUGUCUCUUGUAAUUAAGGCCUAGACAGGUCGAUUAUAAAUCCAACACAAGAUAUAUGGUAGGACAAAACAAAACAAAGAGAAUAGUACUCUUAAUUUCCUCUACUACCUACUACUUUCUCUCCUCGGUCAUCCUCCACCUUCUUCUAUUCCUACUUCAUAACAUAAGGUAGAGAACUUGACAUUAACAUCCAAUUCAUCUAGCUAUAUCAAAGAUAUAGUGUAUAACUCAAGUUUAAUUGUAUGAAUUUUACUCAAAAGAGAGAUAAACUUGUCCAAAUUUUCUAAGUGCAACCAAUUUGAUGCGCACUUCCAGUGAUCCAGAAGACAUAUGACAGAGAUUCAUUAAUGAAAUUCUUGGCUUGUCAAGAAUGAUACAUCUUCAUAAAUAGUCACAGGAGCAUUAUAGUCACAGGGUUAAUUACAUCUUCAUAUGAUACAUCUUCAAAUUCUUGGCUUGCCAAAGGGUUAAUUACAUUAUAGUCACAGGAGCUAGGAGAGAGACAGAAAGGGGUAGGGAGGGAGGUAACUGCCUAUGUUACUUCUCUCUUAUAGUUUUAUUAAUAUUAAUUCGUAAGAUUAGCCUGCAAAAUUCAUCCCAUUUUCCCAGAAACAAGAAGCAAACAUAGGCAUGCAUCAAUAGGUAGUUAAAACGGUUAUUUGUUGAUGUAAGGAAAUGCAUGAGUUCCCAUGAAGGACGUCCUCUUAACGAAUCGACCUUUCAUUCUAGGCCUUUUCUCUGCAUUCAAUUUUCUCACUUCGUACCUUAUCUUCUUCGAAAAUAAUCUUGUCCUUCGCUUUUCUCUGUACCUUAAUACUCUUGCUUCUCUUCCUGCAUUGCCUCUUCCUGCGUGUCCCCCAAGGCCCCCAUAAGGGCGGUGAUGAUGAUGUCCAUUAUGGCAUAUAUCCUAUAAUUAACAUAACGAAAAUAAAAAGAUAAUUAAUUAAUUAAUAACAGAUUAAUUAAACCGAGUUCAAAAUUACAUGCAUUCAAGUAUAUGUUUACCAUGCAGUCAGGCCAGCAAUCAUCAGGACUGAGCUCUGGUCUGCUUCCUGUAGUCCAUGGAGAGCCAUGGCUAGCCCAAGCAGUGAUGACUGCUUCAUAAUUUAGCCUCAAAGAUACAUUCCUACUGAUUUCUUUCUUGUUUCCACUAUUCAUCACUGUUGUGUCAGCCACUGGUACUGCCUUCUCCUCCUCUUCUUCAUCUCCAGUUAUCGGUGACUCGUAAUUAUUGAAAUUCCAAUCAAAUAUUGCUUCCAGUUGAUCUUGUUCAUCCUUGACCUUCACUACUUUGUCCUCAAACUUCUCAUCAUCUUCCUCCUUACAAUCUAACAACCCCAAAUCCUUGAUAUCAGGAGAAGCGUCCUCAAAUCCUCUUCCAAAUAGGUUCUCAACGUCUGCAGCAAACUCAGCAAGAUCCAUAUCUGAAGGUAAAAACCCAGGUAAAUUAUCCAGGUCACUUGUAGUUCCUUCCUUUCCAGAAUCAUCAAAAAUCAUAUUUCCCUCUUCGUCCGCCAUGGCUAUUUCGGUUCCUUCACAUGUUAUCAUAUCAUCAGUACAUAGCUCUGCAGCAAAAGGAUCAAACACAGGAACCAGACACGGACACUGAUCUUCAUCUUCAUCAGCAACAGUAUGACCUUCUUCUUCACUACCAAUCUCAGGAACAAGAGGAAGAGGAUUCAUCAAGACUUUCUCUUCAUCUUUAAGUUGUUGAUGUACUAAUAUGGACUUGUUAUUGUUAUGCCUCGGGGUUCUUGCCUUUCUAGUGAACCCUUGAAUCCAAGCCGGAGGAGAUACUACAGUGUUCAUCGAACCACUUGUCUUAGAUGAAGCAGACUCGAGCCUGACCCUAUCGUGCCUGCUGGCUAACUGGUUUGCGGAAUGGACAGAUUCAUCGCAGGUCUGGCAAAGAAAAGCAUCAUCUGCAGCGCAGAACCACCGAGCUCUCUUGCAGGAACAGCCAUCGCAGGGUCUAACAGUCUUGCCGGCAAGGGCGUUUGCUGCUUUCCUUUCAAUGAUCAUUGAAGAGAUUUUUGGUGUAGAUCGAAAGUUGGCCAAAAUAAGGACUGAAGAGCUAACCAAAAAUCAAGUUACCUUUACAAGGAGUAAUGGGGUGUCUCUUGUAUUUAAUUUGGGGGCCAUUUGAUGCAAUUAUUGAUUAGAGAGAGCAAUGUUGUUUUAGGAUUC
rnacentral:misc_RNA from 1 species